AUUGAACGCUGGCGGCAGGCCUAACACAUGCAAGUCGAACGAGUGGCGGACGGGUUAGUAAUGUAUGGGAAACUGCCUGAUGGAGGGGGAUAACUAAUGGAAACGGUAGCUAAUACCGCAUACCAUCGGAUGUGCCCAGAUGGGUUUAGCUAGUAGGUGGGGAAAAGGCUCACCUAGGCGACGAUCACUAGCUGGUCUGAGAGGAUGACCAGCCACACUGGAACUGAGACACGGUCCAGACUCGUACGGGAGGCAGCAGUGGGGAAUAUUGCACAAUGGGCGCAAGCCUGAUGCAGCCAUGCCGCGUGUAUGAAGAAGGCCUUCGGGUGGUAAAGUACUUUCAGCGGGGAGGCGUUACCCGCAGAAGAAGCACCGGCUAACUCCGUGCCAGCAGCCGCGGUAUAC
rnacentral:rRNA from 1 species